rnacentral:lncRNA from 1 species
GCCAAUUUAUAUAUAAGAAAUAUUUUCUAAAUGCAAUUAUACUUAAACAUCACAUGCACCUGUACUCAUGUGUUUUGUUUAGGGGGGGAUUUUAAGUAUUUUCUCUGGGUCUGAUAAGUCUCAGUAAUAUGGUUCUAUUUUUACUAUGUGGAUUGAGAAGGGAAAAAUUUGACUGAACAGCUUCAUACAAAUCUACAUUUUCCAUCUUUAUUAAAUGUUCUUUAAUUGAUUCCACAAUGCAUCUCACACCUAUAUUCUGUAAGCACACGACAGCAAACAUGCCCUCUAGGCAUCUUUUGUUUUACUGACAAACUGAAACGGUCGGUAUAGCCCACCCUUUUAAUAAGGCCCCUCUAGGAUCUAUGACAUCGACAGAACCAUCAGCUGGUAACAUUUCUCAUGUCAUGGUACUCCAGGUGAGCAGAACCUAUGACUUCAGUCCAGGGUCUUUUUUGACCAAUGGCUUGGUUCAGAGGAAGUUGGAACACACUACAGGGUCUUUUUUGACCAAUGGCUUGGUUCAGAGGAAGUUGGAACACACUACAGGGUCUUUUUAGACCAAUGGCUUGGUUCAGAGGAAGUUGGAACACACUACAGGGUCUUUUUGACCAAUGGCUUGGUUCAGAGGAAGUUGGAACACACUACAGGGGUCUUUUUGACCAAUGGCUUGGUUCAGAGGAAGUUGGAACACACUACAGGUGUCAGGAGAGGAGUCAGAAAAAGAGAUGUUAGUACUGUAGGUCUUAUGAGUGUUUCUCUAAUACAGUUAAAGAAAACAGGCUUGUGUGCCUGCUAAGAUAAUAUAGUCCUAUGACUAUAAGGCAUAGUUCCUCAACCUAACUCAAAGACAGGAUUCUUCCUCUACUACCAGAUAAACUGAUUACAUAGAUCACCAGGAGACAAAAUACUGUUUUUUACUACUUAUUGACUAUUGAUUCUCGUUUCAGUAACCCAAUAGACACAAACAGUUAUUUUAGUUUGCUUUUAUUUAACCAGGUAAGUCAUUGAGAACACAUUCUCUUUUACAAUAAUGACAUACAGGUACAUGGUAACACAGGAUCACACACACACACACACA